rnacentral:rRNA from 1 species
AUUGAACGCUGGCGGCAGGCCUAACACAUGCAAGUCGAGCGAGUGGCGGACGGGUGAGUAAUGUAUGGGGAACUGCCCGAUAGAGGGGGAUAACUACUGGAAACGGUGUCUAAUACCGCAUACUAUCGGUUGAACCCAUAUGGGAUUAGCUAGUGGGUGGGGUAAAGGCUCACCUAGGCGACGAUGUCUAGCUGGUCUGAGAGGAUGACCAGCCACAUGGGAACUGGGAAACGGCCAAGAUUCCUACGGGAGGCAGCAGUGGGGAAUAUUGCACAAUGGGCGCAAGCCUGAUGCGGCCAGGCCGGGUGUAUGAAGAGGGCCUUGGGGUUGUAAAGUACUUUCAGCGGGGAGGCGUUACCCGCAGAAGAAGCACCGGCUAACUCCGUGCCAGCAGCCGCGGUAAUAC